GUUCUCUAGAGGUUUUGACUCACUACUCUCUGUCUCUCACCCAGGGAUUGAGUCUCAGCUAAAUCCCUUUUCCAUCAGUCACCAAAGAUGCCCAUUCACUAAAUUAUGCAUACAUGUUUUUUUGCCCAGCGAGGCCAGAUCUAUUUGCUCUUAUAGAAAAAUAAAGCAUUUUUGCUGUUUUCCUUUUGUUUCUGCAAGCUUUUAGUCCAUGGUGACAUCAUGGAAGCUUAAAACUUGAGAAGCCUACUCUCACAGCCCAUGGACAGCCUUUCCUCACCCCAACCCCAUCUAUAAUCACCACACUUUGGUCCAACUGCAACUGCUCUGUGUGGCAUCAAGUUCUACAGAACCCUGAGAUCUCCAUGUGGAGGAGCCCAAACUGGCAUGCUGAAAGAUGAAAGGAGAAAGUAUGAAGUGUCCCUGCCAGCCAGCUCCUAACCAACAACCUGCCAACGGCCGGACAUGUGAGCAAGGCCAUCCUAGACCAUCCAGCUUCCAGUCAAAUCUCCAGCUGACCACAGACAAUAUAAGCAAGCCCAGCAAAGAACAGGAAAGCAAACCUAGAGAAAAGCUACACAACCAGCCUGCAGAAUUAUGAGUGAAAUAAGUACUUGCUGUUUUAACCAGCUAAAUUUGUUAUGCAGCAAUAGCUAGCUGAUAUUGCACUCAGUAAAUAAUUAUUAAUUCAGAUUUCUCAGAAUGAGUAUGAAAAUGAAAAAGUAAUUAUGUAUAUUUAGAACAAAGCAAAGAGAAAUCUGCUAAAUAGAAUAGAAACUGGCAGACAUAAGGCUGAUUUUUCUUCUUGAAUUAAAAUAAAUAA
rnacentral:lncRNA from 1 species